UUCGUUCAUAGGGUAUGCUCUUAUUUCUUAGUAGAAAAAUUAUUAACGGAGUGAAGAUUUAUGCUUCUUUCUAUAAUUUCAUGUUGUUAUGGACAGAUGAGUAUAUAGAGCCCCCAAACACUGCAAAUGGUGUUUGUCUGUUACUAUCUGAAAAGAAAAUUAUACAAAUUCUAGGUUUAAAAAUAUAAAAUUAAAAGAGUUAGCCCCAAAAGCCACAAACUGAGGGCUAAGCCCUGCCGCCAGAAAUAGCAGGCCAUAAAGAUAAAGAAAAGGAAUGCAAGAACCAGCUCAGGCUAUCGAGGACUGAGCCAUAAACCAUCCAAAGACAUCCCCCCAGCUUACUCAGAGUCAUACUUUAACCAGAUGUCCUCCAGACCCUGAUAAGCCCCUACUUGUGCUUUUCAGCCAUUGUGUCCUACAGAGAGCAUUCCAAGAAACAGGACAGCCCAAGCCUAACCAGAGGUGUUUCAAAUACAAAUGCUCCAUCAAUUUUGACAAACUUUUAAAAAUAAUGAGGACCUAAAGACCCUACCCUUCUCCUGAUUUAGUAGCUCUGUUCCAGGAACCAGGGGGCCAUAAAACCUUCUGGCAUCCCCUUAUCUCCUGGAGCCAUAAAACAAUCCUGUAACUUGUGGUGCAUUCCCCUUUGACAUCCCCCAUCCCCUGGUGCUCACAGCCUCUGCCUUUAAAUACUCUUUUUCCCAGCCUCUCGGGGUCGACACCUCUGUCUCCUGCGUGGGAUAUGUGUCGGCCCGGAGAUCUCUGUAAUAGGUCUCCGUAAUAAACCUCGCCUUUGCUUAUUACAUCCAAAAUGGUCUCUCUGUGUCUGGGGUCCGCGAUUUCCCAAGACUUGAGUAAGGGUCUCUCUGCGUGGGAUCUUUCAUAAUAAUGGGGGCUCGUCCGGGAUCUGCGCGACUACCCCAGACUUCGAAGACCCCUUGGAGGCUAAAAAACCUACAGGUGAUACAGAAAGAAAUCUGCUCACAGCUGACAGCAGCCUAUGCCCUGGAGACCCCUGAGACAUCCCAUCAGUCGGAGACUGCAGCUACACUGAGCCCAGACACUCGAGCCUCGCUGGAAAGGACCAUACCUGGUGCUGCUGACCACCCUGACAGCCGUCAGUUCUCAGCCCUCACCAGCCGUGUACUAGCUGUUAGGGCUGAGAGCUGAGACCUAGAGGGAAAUUUAGUCACGUUUGUCCUGGGUUCCAUCGAGAUAGGUGUGGGGAUAGGCUUGAUUUCUAUUACAAAUGAUGUAACAUUACAUAUGUUAAUACUCCUAACACUUCUUGGGACUGUGCCUCAGAGAUCACAACCUGUAUAAGUUUAGAAGUUCUGAAAGACAGUCAUGACCUUGGUAUAUAGGUUUAGAUAGUGUCCAGAUAGAAUCCUGAUGCCAAAGACUUUUUAGCUGACCUCCAAGAAUACCUAACCUCCCUCUCAGAGGUAGUCCUUCAAAAUAAAAAAAGAUUAGACCUGAUAUUCCUUAAAGAAGGAGCCUGUGUGCUACACUGAAAAAAUGUUGCUUCUAUACAGACCAUUCAGGAGUAAUUAAAGACUCCAUAAAUAAACUUAAAAAAAGGUUAGACAAAAGACAGACAGAAAAACACAUAAGAGAUGGUUUGAGAGCUAGUUUAGUAGAUCUCCCUAGAUGACUACCCUACUCUCUGCUACAGCUGGGCCAUUAUUAAUAAUUUUCUUGGUUUUAGUUUUUGGCUCCUGCGUGACAAACAGGUUAACUGCUUUUGUUAAAAAUUGAGUGGGUGCUGUGCGGUUGAUGGUUGUGAGACAACAGUACCAGUCAGUUAGGACAACUGGUGAGACCAAAUAAGACUUGAUAUCAAAAUUCUAAGAUUAGAAUUAUUUAGUAGGAGAAGACGGGAAUGAAAAGAAAAUUAUACAAAUUCUAGGUUUAAAAAUAUAAAAUUAAAAGAGUUAGCCCCAAAAGCCACAAACUGAGGGCUAAGCCCUGCCGCCAGAAAUAGCAGGCCAUAAAGAUAAAGAAAAGGAAUGCAAGAACCAGCUCAGGCUAUCGAGGACUGAGCCAUAAACCAUCCAAAGACAUCCCCCCAGCUUACUCAGAGUCAUACUUUAACCAGAUGUCCUCCAGACCCUGAUAAGCCCCUACUUGUGCUUUUCAGCCAUUGUGUCCUACAGAGAGCAUUCCAAGAAACCGGACAGCCCAAGCCUAACCAGAGGUGUUUCAAAUACAAAUGCUCCAUCAAUUUUGACAAACUUUUUAAAAAUAAUGAGGACCUAAAGACCCUACCCUUCUCCUGAUUUAGUAGCUCUGUUCCAGGAACCAGGGGGCCAUAAAACCUUCUGGCGUCCCCUUAUCUCCUGGAGCCAUAAAACAAUCCUGUAACUUGUGGUGCAUUCCCCUUUGACAUCCCCCAUCCCCUGGUGCUCACAGCCUCUGCCUUUAAAUACUCUUUUUCCCAGCCUCUCGGGGUCGACACCUCUGUCUCCUGCGUGGGAUAUGCGUCGGCCCGGAGAUCUCUGUAAUAGGUCUCCGUAAUAAACCUCGCCUUUGCUUAUUA